CUUACUCGAGCACUGCUAUGCUACAAUAAACACAAACUCCACAGUUGUGCAACCUGUGCCCAAAAAACAAAAGGCGUACCCUGUCACAUAUUAAACGUGAUUAAAUUUCAUUUAAUAAAGCUUUCUAUUCUCUGGUACAGGCGUGUCAUAAUUUGUAGCGGAUAAGGAAGAGGAAAGUAGAACCGGAAAUUACAAAAAUAAACGAAGGGUGCAACAGAAGAUGAUUAUUGUUCAAUAAAAGACUUUAUUUUCGAAAAAGUAUUCGUCGUCAUACUUUAAAAUUACUUUAGUCUUCAGACAAUCGAAUGUUGAAGACUCAUUUCAGAACGCGCGGGUUGGCCUAGAGGCAGCAGUGUCAGAAGCAAGUUUCUUGGAGAAGGAAGGUUGUGGACAAGAAUGAACAUCCCUCAGUGCAAGGAGGUGGAACAGUUAAGCUGGUUUCAUCCAAAUUUAAACCGUCAUCAUGCUGAGGCCCUUUUGAUACAAAAUGGGCAAGAUGGGAGUUACUUGUUAAGACAAAGCACAACAAACAAAGGAGAAUAUUCAUUAUCAGUGAGAUGUGCUAACUCAGCAAAACAUUUCCAAAUUGGGUGGGAUGGCAGCCACUUUACAUUUGGAAUGGGGAGAUUUUCAAGUUUGAAGGAUUUUGUGGAACAUUUUGAGAACAAGCCUUUGAUUGGUGGUGAAUCAGGUGUGCUCACCCUACUGAAGCAUCCUUAUCCAAGAGAUGUCCAAGAGCCAGUUCAAUAUGAAACAAUAAGGGUUCAUGCUGAAUGGGGAAAUAGGCCUAGCUCAGGCAGCAAUGCAGGCAGAACAGAUCUUUCAAUCAAUUCAAAGGAAGGAUAUUUAACAAAACUUGGAGGAAGAGUAAAGAACUGGAAAGCAAGGUGGUUUGUCUUAGUAAAAAAUGAGUUGCGAUACUAUAGAACAAAAGGGGAUGAGACUCCUAUACGCACAUUAGACUUAUCAAAAUGCGAAGGAAUCAAAGAAGAUUCUAGUUCAGGAAAAGCGAACUGUUUUCAGUGAGAUUACGAUGCCCAACAGAACUUACCAUAUUUAUGCAAGUUCGUCAUCAGAAAAAGAAGAAUGGGUGGAAAUUUUGAAAUGGAAACUUCAACAUCUGAAAUAGGGAAUCAUAAUUUCAAGCACCAUAACACUGCGAUUAUACCAAAGUUUCACUGAAUGUGUAUAAUUAUUCAGACGUGCUAACCUAGUAAUAAAAUCUUCGUUUGAUACUAUUACGGGCUAAUUCUUCUCCAAUUCUGGACUCCUUUAACAGUAAUCACUAAAUUUUGGGGACCAAAUUCUGCAUUUCUUUGACCUUGUAUAUUUUGCAUUCCCUUUCGAAGCAGGAUAUGACGUCAUGUUUGCCUAUAUCUGACCUAAAUAAUGACUGUUAUUUUCUAAUUCAUUUCAAUCAACCGAGAAUAACAACAUUUAUUUAGUAGCUAAUUAAAAUUACUUACAAGAGUCUUUCGAACAGUAGUACAAGUCAGUUUAGCAUUUUUUUGUAACACAACACUAUUGUAACCUUCUCAAAGACUCUACUCUCUUUCUUUCUCCUGGGACUAAAUAAAUUCAGUUUGUAGUUUUUGCAAGAAAAAUCAGCGUGAAGUGGGUUUGUCCUUUCAGAUUUGUUUCAGUCACCUGACUGCAUGUUUAUUGACUGUAUCCAAUGCAGAGUCACUUACACCUGUUUUUAGCAUGCCUUUCAAUAGUAUCAAAAAUUGACUUAAUUAACCAGAUGUCUAUGUUUUUUCGCAUAUGUAAUUAUCUUAAUCAUUAUCAGCUAUAUAAUAAUCUCAGUAAUCAAACGAGAGAUGCAUAUAGAUGAAGGACAAUGAGCGGAUUCGGUUGAUCUUCCGUUUUGACUUGAGUAUUAACCAUUCAGUAGGCAAACACAAAUUUAACGUAACACUAAUAUGUUUAAUUUUUGUAAAUGUUAUGAUGUAAACAGUAGCACGGAAAAAAUUCUGAUAAGUUUACAUAUUCUAUUAUUUACAUUGUCUAUUAUAUGACGUAAUAUUUUAGGGUUUGUCUUCGACUAAAACAGAUUAAUAGUUUUUUAUUUCGACUUUUGCUAUAAAAAAUGGCUCUUGAAGCUA